GCAAACUGCCACAUCUUUCUACUACAGAGCAGCUGGUGUGUUCAAACUGCUGACCUUUCAGUUAGCAGCCAAGUGCUAAACUGCUGCGCUACCAGGGCUCCUUAGUUACCAUCAACCAGGCAUUAUUUAACUCUCAUAAUGAUCCAGAUAGAUGAGUUGUAUUUUUUUUGUCCAUUUUACUUUUUAAUUGCAGAAAGGUGAAGGUCAGAAGCCAGUAAGUGGCAGACACUGGUUUCUAACCCUGGCCCUUUGUCUUUGUAGUCCAAAUGUGUAAUGACAGUAUAGCAACUUGAUUUUUUGUAUAAAAUGGUAAUGAAUCUAUAAGUGAUCAAUACGAUCUGUGGAAAAAAUAAAAUGAUGUAUUAGUCUUCAACUUCAUGUUCUCAUAAUAUUUUACCAGAGAAUUUUAAUAUUUGCUUGACUGAAUGAUUAAUGAUUUUCACGGACAAAUAAUUAUGGAGUGUGUUUUUUUUCCAGCCCUCUUAUCUUGAAAAAAAUUUAAAGUGUACUUCAGGGGUUACUCUGAAAGACUGGUCGAGUACCUAGGUGGGGCCUUUACAACAUGGGAACUGGGUUCCCUGCAGGAGUUGUGACUGUGGUCCUGGGAGCAGGUUAGGAAGACCCUGGAAGGAUACUAAAGGCAAAUCAGACUUCUCUAAAAUUUUUGCUUAUAGCUAGUUCUGCACUGAUAAAACGGGAGACGGGAGACUCUCUUAACCUUUUCUUUUUUUUCUCCAGGACACACGCUCCCAUGUCACAUGAUUAUGAUCAGUGCCUGCGGUGGGUUGCUUUAGUAGAUUGUGGACCAGCUACCACCUCACAUUAUAACAUCUUUUCAAGGGGAAACAGGCCCUGAGUUAUGUGUUUUUAGAAUACAACCCAUUUGUAAAAUCCAAAUUUCCAAUAUAUAUGCCAUCUUAAAAUAUUAACUUGCAUACAGAAAGACUUCAGUUCAAAUAUAUUUUCUGGGAUGCAAGAAGUUAAACAUUUUUGGACUACUCUCUUAGUGUAUCUUCUGUGGUGAAUUUGCCCAGAAUGAAACAAAAUUGCUGGAUGAUAUGAAAAGCAAACUGUCCAAUAGUCGGUUUAGCAAAAGACUUAUGAGAAAAUCCUCUCUUAUUUGUAUAGCUGAAAUAUCAAGGCCCAGUCUAUACUUAUCUUUUAUUUAAGAUUGUGAGAGAGUCAGAUUACUGAAAUUCAACAAUCUUUGUCUGUAUAAGGUUGGCCGUUCAUUCAUUCAUUCAAAAUAUUUAAUUAAGUAUCUAAUAUGUGCCAGACAGGAGGCACUGGUGGUUCAGUGGUAGAAUUCUCACCUUUUGUGCAGGACACCUGAUUUUGAUUCUCUGCCAACGUACCCCAUGUGCGCCUGUUUUGUCAGUGGAGGCUUGUGUGUUGCUAUGAUGCUGAAUAAAUUUCAAGGAGCUUCUAGACUCAGAUGGACUAGGAAGAAAGGCUUGGCAAUCUACGGAAAAUCAUCCAAUGAAAACCCUGUGGAUCAACCCUGUGGAUCACAAAGGUGUGAUCCACACCCUGUGGGUCACAAAGGUAGAAGACAAGAUAUAUCAGAAUAUCAUCUUGGGUACAAUAAGAACAUUUAAAUCAAAACCAGGACAUCUUUGUUUUAUUAGCUGUACCUGCUAAUUAAAGAACGGAUAAGCUGACCAGGUAGAAUGCGCCAGCAUGGAAGAAGCCAGAGACCCCAGGAGAGGCCCUCUCUCCUAUGGCCUGAAUGUAAUAAGGAAUACAACAACAAACAACAACCUGUUGCCACUGAGUCGAUUCCGACUCAUUUUGACCCUACAGGACAGAGUAGAACUGCCCCGUAGGGUUUCCAAGGAGCAGCCGGUGGAUUUGAACUGCCGACAUUUUGGUUAGCAGCCGAGCUCUUAACCACUAUGCCAUCAGGGCUCCAGUGUUCUGGUAGAGAUGUGCAUAAGCACAUGAUCAGAACCACAGAGUUAAAACUGCAGCUCUGAUAAGCACAAGGAAGAAGAGAGAGAUUUGUGUAGCCCACUCUCUUGACUGUAAACUCUUUGAGGUCAGUGGCAGCCUCUUGCUUUGUGGAGAAAGCAGUAGGAUAAACCAACUAUAUAGCCACAUAGGUGAGCGUGUACCCCCCAGUAUGUGGUCGUAGCUCAUAUGAACUGGUACAGAACAUUCCAAUGCAAUGAUGUUUUGGUAAAUAAAUGAAUUUGGAUGAAUGAAUGAAUGGAAUAUUGUAUUUACUCUCUUCAAUGCGAAGAAACCAGGGUGAGUUCAUGACAUUUGUUCUGGUCCAACACAUUGUUUAGAGGAGAAAAUAUGGAUUCACAGUUAACAAUAUCAUCAUCAGAUGAGGAGACUGAACUGAAUUGCAUAAUACCCACGGGAUGCUGUGUUUAGAAAUAAAUCUGUGUGUCACUGUGGCUCAUGAGGGGUUAUAAAAAUGCUAGAUUCACUAAAUAUUGAAAUAUUAGCAACUCUUCCCCCUCUCUCUCAAAAGGAGGAUUUUAGAUCUCGUGUCGCCAGCCCCCACUUCCUAGGCAAUUUGUAUUUGUUGAAUGGCUCACUUCUAGAUAAAGCAGCAAUUAAACUUUUCAUUUUCUUUUUGAGGAGAGUUGUUGUUAAUGAUUGUUAGAAUUUUUGUUGCAUUUUAUAUUUUCAGAGUGUUUUGUAGUUGUUACAUGAGUUCCAUAGCACUCAGGAAUUUGGGAUGUUGUACUGUUGUUUGUUUGUAAAGGGAAAAUAAAGAACGAAAAUGUUCAAUGACAGUUGAAAGCUACACAAAUCAGAUAUUCAUUUAUCUGGGGUACUGCUUCUCUUCUUCUGCCUAGAGACCCUUCGUCUCCUUCUUUUGCCUUCUGAAUCUUUCUCCUCACUCAGAAUCUACUUCAACGCCACCUCUAUAGAGCCUCUGUAACCUCUUAAAGUCUCAUAAAUCUCCAUUGCACUUUAUAAUAUGAGGUUUUGUUUAUGUUCUCCCCCACACCGGCACACACGCAGAUUAUGAAUCCCUGGAGGACAGAUAGCCAAACUCAUCCAGUAGGCAUACUCUUAAAAGAGCGAGUGAAUAAAUGAGUGAAUGAGUGAACAAAACUCCCAGAGCUGUUAGAUUAAAUAUCCCCAGUCUUUUAGCAGCUACUUCUCAUUUUAUAGGAGCCCUGGUGGUGCAGUGUUUAAGAGCUACGGCUGCUGACUACAAGGUUGACAGUUCAAAUCUACCAACUGCUCCUUGCAACCCUUUGGGGCAGUGCUGCUCUGUCUUGUAGGGUUGCUAUGAGUUAGAAUUGACUUCAUGGCAAUAGGUUUCCCAUUUUAUAGAUUCAAGACCAUGUCUGUGAAGCUCUGAAGUGAGUCCCUAGGCAAAUGCCAGAGAGGCAGGAAGUGGAUUGCAGCCCCAGCUUGGAGAACUCCAAGCUAGCCUUUAGGCUUUAUCAGAAUAUCCUUGGUAUCCCAAAAGUUGAGUCAGAUAUUUUCACAGGCUCUCCUUUUAAGACCAUUUCUCAGAGGUUGCAGCCAAAAGCCUUAGGGUCAUAGCAGAUAGAACAGUCUGGGUUGGCCACUGUGGCUAUUAGUGGCAGAGUGAUGCUGAAGUAGACAUUAUGGAGUGUAGUUCUAGUCUGACACAUAUGGGGUCACCAUAAAUUGGAAUCCACUGGACGGCAACUGGUGCUGGUCAGGGUUCUCCUAAUCCAGAAAUCUCAGAUGCCCAAAGCCUGACUGUAUUAAGGGAUGUGGUUCUAAGGUGAUGCCAGUAACAAGAGGCUGUAGUGGUCCUCACCUCUGGAGAACGUGGCUUGUUUUACUCAUGAUCUUUACUUUUCCUCUAUGUAUUUUUGAACAUCCUAUGAUAUGACACCAAUAAUUCAACAUUUAUUGAGCACCUAAAACAUUCAAUAUAGAAUGUUUAAAUUAAAUUAGCCUCGGUAUCUCUGUAUUCUUUCCUACCUGUGUCUUCCUCUUCUUUGUGUGUCACCCCCACUGGAGCACCUAUCCUAGAGCCUCACAUGUAUCUCACGCAUCAUGACUGAAUGAAGGAACACUCUCCUGUGCUGACGCCCAAUAGGCACUUAGCAGAACUUACAGGCUAGUUCUCAGGGCACUCAACAUGGUACAGAACAGAGAGAAAGGAUAGUCUUUGAGCAGUUAAUUUAGCAUAAUCAGUGAUUUAUCCAAGGGAAUGCAUUUUCAGAGAAUACUUGUAUUUGCGUUGAUUCUCAAGGUGAGGUAGCGGGAUUGCUGCUCUCAGAGUGAUAGGUCUGCUCUUUUUGUAUAUAGCUCCCCACCUCCUCUCAUUGUUUAAGUGUUGGGACCCUUUUUCUCCCGCCCCUCACCCAAAGUAGAAUCCUACUUUGAGGGAACAUAACUGUGUGUUUGUUAUUUCAUAGUUUAUGAUUUUUUUUAAAAUCAUAAGUGAACUGCUAAUUGUUAGAAUUAUUUUAAUGAUAAGUGAAAUUCUCACUGUUAAAAUGAUCUGUACUUACACAAGAAUACUCCUUUAUGGAACAUCAGACUAAUGACAACAGGAACAAUUACAGACUUUGCUGUCUAGGACUGGCAGGUAAGGAGAGCAGAAGUAAGCCAUUUUGGGAACCAUCUCUACCAUUAAUUCUGUGUUUCCUUCCCUGCUUGUCCCUAACUUCUUAACUCCCACAGUUUUCCUAAUCUUCAAAAUGUGUAGGCUGAAGUUCAGAAUCUCUAAAUUGCCUUCUGGAUCUACUGACUAUUGUUAUGUGAUUCUAAAGAAAAAAACAAACAAAAACCAAAACCUCUUGCUAUUGAGUUGAUUUCAGUUCAUGGUGACCCCAUGUGUGUUAGUGUAGAACUGUGCUCCAUGGGAUCUUCAGAUGGUUUAUUUUUCAGCAAUAGAUUGCUAGGCCUUUCUUCUGCAGCCCCUCGACGCCACCCUUUUAGUUUACAGCUGAGUGCAUUAAUUGCACCAUCCAGGGACUCCUCUGUCAUUCUAGCUAUGUGUAAUUCUAGUUUUUUUUUUUUUUUAAGAUAAAAGUUGGUAAACAGUACAAAUAAUGACAAAGAUAAAUUUUUCAAAAUUGGACAAGCUGAGAUCCUUGGUGGUAAUCUUCCUGGUUUUGAAUUUAUAAACCACCUGCUGGUAAAAUCUCUUUAGUUUCUAAGCAUUUUCAUUCUUACUUUCUCCUUUUCAAAACGCUGUCUCUGUGAUUGCAAAGCGAGUCCCCGGAAAUGUAAUUUCUUCUUCGGUGUAGCAUGCUGAGCAGCUGCGGAGGCCACGUGGAGAACUUAAGCACACACAUAUCUUGAAGGUCAAAAGUACAUUUAAUGGCACUCUGUGGUCCAAUAUGCUCAUCUUUAGGCAUUAGCAAUUGCCAUGAAUAUCCGAGAUGCCCCACGUGGGAGCUCCUGGAUUCAGGCCAUAAACCAGAAUUCGAGAAUAUGCAUCUUGUAAAAGCCAAAGCAGUUAGUGUUGUCAGAGACACACAGGUAAUGCUGCUGAAUUAAUGAACUGGGCAUUGUGCCAUGCCUGCUGAGAAAAGGAGGCAAAUUUAUUACGUUUUAGCACAAUAGUUGAAGGAAACUGGUAAAGUAACUGGAUAUGUUUUAGAAAUUUGAAAAUUAACAAUGAAAGAGGAAAGAGACCCCAGUUAAAAGAAGAGUCCUGGCACAGUAGGUUGAAAGUAUUCAGUUAAAUAGAUCUUCCGGCUCAUUGGAAACCAUCCAAAAACAGGGUAAUUUGAGCAAACACACCCAAAGUGGUUUGUGUAUGUAGUGGUUAAAAACCUUAGCAUUGCCUCAGCUCUAUGGAACCCAUCAGAGAGAAAUUGUUCUGGAUCAUCAAGCUACCACCCUCUAGUUCCUAGUUUAGUUUGGAAAUGGAAAUAUUUAAAAUAAUCUAUAAAUAUUUACGAAGAAAUUCUUUUCUGGGUAUAAAAAUAAUAUAUAUAUAUAUAUAUUUUUGUUCUGAUGAAAGUUUGAAAGAGGUAGAAAAAUACAGAGACAGCUCAUGAUUGUCCCACUAUCUGGCAAUAACUUUUAUUAACCUUUUGGUGUAUUUCCUCCCAGUCUUUUUUUUCUUUCUUUCAUAUUUUAAACAUAGCACAUAUACAAUUGUGUACAUGUUUUCUUAGUCAGAUAUGCUGAACAUCAUCUAGCCUUUCCUUGAUCUGGAGUCGCCAUUAGGCACAGCUGAGGGUGUGGAGAUCAAUGCUACAGAAUGUCUCCCCUCCCUCUUCCUUUGUUCACAGCCCAGCAGACUGAGAUUUGUGGUGGGCAGGCAGGCAGCUUCCCACGGAAGGGCUGGGCUUGGAGACAUGCUGUCCAUGGCAGGUGGGCACCUUCCCUCACCAUCACUCAUGGGAAGUCCUGUGUUCUGUUGGGGGCUUUGAUGUGUCCUGGUCAUGUAUAUGUGCCGCUUGCUAAAACCCUUCCCACUCUUUCCAACCCAGCUAUUCCUGAAAAUCUAGGUGGCUAAGCUUUUGCAGAUCUGAAUUACUGCAAAGUUGAUGAUAAAGACAAUACUAACAAUGGGUUUUGUUUUCUGAAUUCCUUUGUAAAGAAAAAGUGUUCAUUUUUAUAACAUUCCACUUAGCAAAACUUGUUAGAAUCAUGGGGAAGCCAGGGAAAAAGUGCUCGGAGAAUCUUCGUAGUUAGUAUUUCUGGGUCCACUGGACUCAGGUUAACACAUACUUGGUUUUGCGGUAGGUGCACCAUACUAAGAGAUUACUUCCAGGAAGCAGCCCAGGGUUGAGGAGC